rnacentral:lncRNA from 1 species
UUUUUUUUUUUUUUUUUUUGAGACAGAGUCUCACUGUGUUGCCCAGGCUGGAGUGCAAAUGGCUUGAUCUUGGUUCACUGCAACCUCUGCCUCCCAGGUUCAAGCAAUUCUCUUGCCUCAGCCUCCCGAGUAGCUGGGACUAAAGGCGUGUGCCACCAUGCCCAGCUAAUUCUUGUAUUUUUAGUAGAGACGGAGUUUCUCCAUGUUGGCCAGACUGGUCUCGAACUCCUGACCUCAGGUGAUCUGACCGCCUUGGCCUCCGAAAGUGCUGAGAUUACAGUUGCGAGCCACUGUGCGUGGCCAGAACUUUAUAAUAAGAGACUUGAAGCUGGGUGUGACGGUGCACACCUCUAGUCCCAGCUACUCGGGAGGCCAAGACAGAAGGAUCACCUUGAGGCCAGGAGUUUAAGGCCAGCCUGGGCAACAUAGCAAAACCUAGUCCCUAAAAUUAAAAAAAAAAAAAAAAAAAAAAAGGAAAAUAAAGGAGACUUGAAAUUUUUGAACUAAAUAGUGGUGAUGGCUACACAUUGUGAAUGUAAUUAACACCACUGAGUUAAACACUUAAAAUGGUUAAAAUGGCAAAUUGUAUGUUAUACCUAUUUUACUACAAUAAAAAGUAUAAAAAAGAGAAGAUAUUUAGGUGACUUACAGCAACCAAUUGCAACAAAACAAAAUGUUAAGAAAUGAUCUUUUUAUGAGGCAAUUGGAAAUUUGAACACUGAUCAACUAUAGGAUGAUUGGAAUUAUUAAUUUUGUAAAGGUGUGAUAAGAUACUGCACUUGGCUGGGCACAGUGGCACAUGCCUGUAAUCCCAGCUACUUGGCAGGCUGAGGUGGGAGAAUCGCUUGAGCUCAGGAGUUCGAGACCAGCCUGGGCAACGUGGCGAAAUCCCCGUCUUUACAAAAACAAACAAACAAACAAAAAAGAUAUUGCAGUUGUGUUGUAAGCGUCCUUAUCUUUCAGAGCUACAUAGUGGAAUGUUUAUGGAAUAUUUAGGAUAAAUGAUAUAGGCAUUUGGGAUUUGCUGCAAAAUGACCCAGAGGCAGGGGUCAGGGGGAGAGGUAGAGAUGAGACAAGAGGUAGAGGGGAGAGGUAGAGGUAGCCACGAGCUGAUAAUUACAGACAAGAGAUGCGGAGUAUGUGGGGGCUCAUUAUCCUGCAUAGUCUAUCUUUGUAUAUCUUUGAACUUUUCAAGAAUAAAAAAGCUUAAAAAGUAUACAUGGCCUGGUCCUACCAGAGACUCACCCAAUGCCAGCCUCCAGCCAGGGAGAGCCAAGUUUGCAUUUUCACACGCAUCUCACACUCCUCUGCACUCUCAACUUGGAGCGCUCCAAACAGGGAAACCCCAAGCCUUGCUGGCUUCUGCCAACCCCCUGAGCAGAAGCAUGGGUCCCCCUGAUCACCACCUCACCACCCUCAUCCUGAUCUCACUGUACACAGCAAGCAAACCCCAGUGUAAUUAACAAGACUGAGGAUACCUGUAAUCCCAGCACUUUGGGAGGCUGAGGCCGGCAGAUCACAUGAGUUCAGGAGUUCGAGACCAGCCUGGCAAACCAUGGCCAACAUGGCAAAGCCCAGUCUCUACUAAAAACAC